rnacentral:lncRNA from 1 species
AAUAAUCAUGGUGGUGGCUUCCCAGUUUCUGGUCGCGAUCGUCGUGCGUUCUCUGGCGAUGGUGGCUUCUUGGGUGGUUCCUACGGUGGUGGUGGAUACUUUGGCCCCUACCGUGGUGGACCUGGACCUUUCGGUGGACCUUUCGGUGGACCUGGACCUUUCGGUGGACCUUUCGGUGGACCUGGACCUUUCGGUGGACCCUAUGGUGGUGGGUACGGUUUCCCCUACUAUGGAAGAUUUGGUUCCGGUGGAUUCGGUUCUGGUGAAUUUGGACCUGGUGGUGGAUUCAAUAACUUUCCUGGUGGUCGUGGUGGUAGUGGUGUUGGAUUCGGCAACUUUCCUGGUGUAGCCGGUGGGUUACCUAACAAUC